UCUACACUCUCAGUCACAUGCACGUCACUACUCAAGUUUUCCUUUUAUUUUAUUUUGUUCUCUAUCGUCUACCAUUAUAAAUAUCGCUUACCUCGUACGAGAAGAGUAAACCGUGAGCCACCCACUUCUUUUCACAGCAACUCCACACUGCUCAGAGGUGCCGAACCCCCUCUCUAGCGUCACAGAAGGUGCCGACCAGCCCAGCCCCAGCUCAGCCACUCCUUUUCGAUAAGCCGACCGCCGCCAGCCUCCUCUUUUUCCCUCUCUUUUGUUUCGAUCCUACAGUUUCUCUCUCUAAACUCUCUUUCUCUCUCCCUCACGCGGUGCCGCACCACCAUAGGAACUCCCAGUCGCGUCGCCGGUCACUCCCAGCCACCCAGAGCCGCCGUCACACUCAGCCCUCUCUCGGUGAGUUUUGGACCAUCACAU